rnacentral:snoRNA from 1 species
CUCAAUGAUGAGGAUUGGCUUUACUGAACCAAAAUGAUGAUCCGUAUGAGCUCUGAGA